UGAGACAGUUUGGUCCCUAUCCAUCGUGGGCGUAAGAUAUUUGAGGGGAUCUGACCUUAGUACGAAAGGACCGGGUUGGACGCACCGAUCGUGCACCAGUUGUCGUGCCAACGGCAUAGCUGGGUAGCGAUGUGCGGAAAGGAUAAAUGCUGAAAGCAUCUAAGCGUGAAACCUGCCCCAAGAUGAGAUAUCUCAAUUAUGUAAGACUCCUUGUAGACUACAAGGUUGAUAGGUCACGUGUGUAAGCAUAGUAAUGUGUUUAGCUGAGUGAUACUAAUAGGUCGAGGGCUUGUUCUU
rnacentral:rRNA from 1 species